UUCAGCUCGCCAGCCGCCCCUGUGCAGUUUAGCAAGUUAAAUUUGAUUUAACUAGUUGUUUUAGCCAACAAUUAUUAUUGCAUUGGCUACUAGUUACAGCGUAGCAGUUAACAGCAUCACUCGACAAAUGAAGUGUGUCCAACAAAAACAGUAAAAUUAAUUUUUAAAAAUAACUUGCCUCUAUAUCGGCCGUUCUGUAGAUUUUUUCGCCACUGUCUUCCUUCUGCAUUCAGCAAAUUGGUUAUUUUCAUUGUCAUUUUUUUUUUAAUCAAUUUUUUUCGUGGUUGUCACCAGUUCGCGCACCGGUGGCCAGACGUCCCUCGCGCAGUCCGGUUUAUCCAGCUCAGCGGUCCCCGAUCCGUCUCAGCCUCUCACCGGACACAUUUUGCUCAACCUGAGGAAGACGAACUGCUCUUUCUCCCGGCAACGGUUUCCACGCAGACUGACGCUUCAGUCCCUGGCUCCGCAGCGCCUCGCUCCUGCUCAGCCGACCCCGACGCAACUGGCCGAGCUUCCCCGGAACACAUGGCGGGAACCGGCCAAUCCCUUCACAGCAUCUGGAGAACCCGCCUGUUCCUCGCCCAAGAGGCCGCACUCUCAGAGGAAAGGGUUCCAAAGGGUUCCAAAGGGCUCCUCCGUGUCUCCGUAGAGGAACCCUGUUCUACUUCACGGGUUCUUUGUCAGGCAAAAUGGCUCAGUCUGGGAGCUUUCACACCCACCCAUCAAGGGUUCCAUAAAGAACUACAAAGCGCUCCUCUGCGAAGACAGGCCAAUGGAGCCUAUCCCAGCGUGCAUUGGGCGGGAGGAAGGAAUACACCCUGGACGGGUCGCCAAUCUAUCGCAGGGCACACACACCAUUCACUCACACACUCAUACCUAUGGGCAAUUUAUGGUCUCCAAUCGACCUACCUGCAUGUCUUUGGACUGUGGGAGGAACCCGGAGUACCCGGAGGAAGCCCACGCAGACACGGGAAGAACAUGCAAACUCCACACAGAAAGACCUCGACAGGGAUUUGAACCCACGACCUUCUUGCUGUGAGGUAACUUGUAAGCACCUUGACAGGGGAACUUACAUGAUUGUAACUGUACCUCUACUUCUAAUGGUAUUUUAUAGUGAAAUGUAUUUUUGUAAGUCGCUUUCUGACAAACUUUCUGGACACCAGUCAGAGGGAACAGGGAGUCACCAUGAAACAUCACAAUAAAAAAAAUGUGAUCAUUAAUGUGCCAGCACGAUAACUUCAUAUGUUCACUUCGCUUUUAUCAAUCCACGAGAUGUGUUGCUAGAUUGCCACCUGAUAAAAAAUGAACUUUAUUGAUUUCAUGCUGAUUUACUGUUGUUAAAGGCUUGUCCCGCUACCACAGCAUUGCUUUCAGAUAAGAUAAUUCUGAAUUAGAGUAUUGUGCAACAGAGGUGA